ensembl:lncRNA novel transcript
GGAGAGAAAAUUCUGGCGCUCCGUCAGGCGGUCUUCCGGUAGCGCCGGCACGCGGCGUCAUCACACGCAGACGUGUGAUGGGGCUUUCGCAGAGGGACUGGCGGUUUUCGGACUCAGCCCAGGCGGCGGGUCUUAGUUCUGGAAACAGGAGUACUAAAUGUCUUGUGUUCACUAUUGGUACUGCGGGAGCAGGCGGCGCUGGGCGCGGUUAUGUGGAAGGCUGAGUGAUUGCCGCUACUCUAAUCCCACCGGCUUCCUUGGUUCCUCUGUGAGAGCAAAUAUCCCCUUUUGGAAAUUACUCGACCUCAUCUCUGCGACGAGGGAUCUACGGCCCCGACAGCUCCCCUAGUGGGAGCUGGAGUGUGCGUCCUGCAGGAGUUGGAGCUGGCCGGGCUUCGUAAACUCCUUCACUUUUCCUUGUCACCUCUUAGGGCCAUUUCUAGUUUUUCUGAGCUGGUCUGUUGGAAUCGCGGGGCCUUUCAGAGCUGGACGAUGCUUGAGGUCAUCCUCUUUUAAAAUAAAAAUUUAAGUUCCAGGCAAAAAGUGCCACUUAGGGGAGGAGGGUGGUUGGAGAAGUGCGGUCACUGUCCUGAGCACAUCGCUGGGACCAGAAGAUCGUUAGACAAAGACCAGGAAGACAGGAGAGGUCCCUGGUAGGAGACGUUCUGAUGGUUACUCCCGCAUGGUGUCAGCAAUGAGGGGAACUGUGGUGGGGAAUUCAGGUGAGGGCCCGCAGCAAAUUCGGUUACAGCCGCUUUCCCCUUUCAAGCAUGGUGCCUCAGCUGCAGGGACUCCCUCCACCACGGGACCUAACUAGUGAUGGGCACCCUAGCAGCAGCCAGGAGGCACAAGCCAAAGAGAGAAGCAGCUGACAUGUGGUUGAGGAUCAGACAGGACAGGAAAAGUACUUAGAAUAGUCAGCACAAUCUCAUACCUGAAAUGUGACAAGUUUUAAGUGGGCAUAUGACCACCCACUACAGACCCCAUCCUCCCACCUGUCUGGUUUAUGAUUAUGGCCAAUAAGAAUCGAGUCAAAGGAAUGUGUGUCACUUAGAUGAAGCCAUGACAAAAAUAUAAUCCCUUGCCCUUUUCCUUUCUCUGCUGAGAGGUGUCCAUGGGAUCAGCCAACCUGAAUUCAGAAAUGGAAGUAUUGUGAAGAUGCCAGAGUUCCCCCCCUCCCAGCUCUGGAAAACUGAGCUCUGCAAAAUGAGAAAAAUAAAAACAUGUCUUGUUAAGGCCUCUGCA